GCGUAUUAGUGAUAGUAGCGGCAUCCUUUUAUGUGGUAACUUUUAAAAAAGUUACCACAUAAAAGAUAUAGCGAAUAGCACGACCCGCA
rnacentral:sRNA from 1 species